rnacentral:rRNA from 1 species
GAUGAACGCUGGCGGCGUGCCUAAUACAUGCAAGUCGAGCGAACAGAUGAGGAGCUUGCUCCUCUGACGUUAGCGGCGGACGGGUGAGUAACACGUGGAUAACCUACCUAUAAGACUGGGAUAACUUCGGGAAACCGGAGCUAAUACCGGAUAAUAUAUUGAACCGCAUGGUUCAAUAGUGAAAGACGGUUUUGCUGUCACUUAUAGAUGGAUCCGCGCCGCAUUAGCUAGUUGGUAAGGUAACGGCUUACCAAGGCAACGAUGCGUAGCCGACCUGAGAGGGUGAUGGGCCACACUGGAACUGAGACACGGUCCAGACGCCUACGGGAGGCAGCAGUAGGGAAUCUUCCGCAAUGGGCGAAAGCCUGACGGAGCAACGCCGCGUGAGUGAAGAAGGUCUUCGGAUCGUAAAACUCUGUUAUUAGGGAAGAACAAAUGUGUAAGUAACUAUGCACGUCUGGACGGUACCUAAUCAGAAAGCCACGGCUAACUACGU